rnacentral:rRNA from 1 species
GAUGACCUUUGGCGGCGUGCUUAACACAUGCAAGUCGAGCGAAGCGCUUUGGAAAGAUUCUUCGGAUGAUUUCCUUUGUGACUGAGCGGCGGACGGGUGAGUAACGCGUGGGUAACCUGCCUCAUACGGGGGGAUAACAGUUAGAAAUGACUGCUAAUACCGCAUAAGACCACGGUACCGCAUGGUACAGUGGUAAAAACUCCGGUGGUAUGAGAUGGACCCGCGUCUGAUUAGGUAGUUGGUGGGGUAACGGCCUACCAAGCCGACGAUCAGUAGCCGACCUGAGAGGGUGACCGGCCACAUUGGGACUGAGACACGGCCCACACUCCUACGGGAGGCAGCAGUGGGGAAUAUUGCACAAUGGAGGAAACUCUGAUGCAGCGACGCCGCGUGAAGGAUGAAGUAUUUCGGUAUGUAAACUUCUAUCAGCAGGGAAGAAAAUGACGGUACCUGACUAAGAAGCCCCGGCUAACUACGUGCCAGCAGCCGCGGUAAUACGUAGGGGGCAAGCGUUAUCCGGAUUUACUGGGUGUAAAGGGAGCGUAGACGGCACGGCAAGCCAGAUGUGAAAGCCCGGGGCUCAACCCCGGGACUACAUUUGGAACUGCUGAGCUAGAGUGUCGGAGAGGCAAGUGGAAUUCCUAGUGUAGCGGUGAAAUGCGUAGAUAUUAGGAGGAACACCAGUGGCGAAGGCGGCUUGCUGGACGAUGACUGACGUUGAGGCUCGAAAGCGUGGGGAGCAAACAAGAUUAGAUACCCUGGUAGUCCACGCCGUAAACG